rnacentral:tRNA from 1 species
CGGAGAGUAGCUCAGCCUGGUAGAGCACUGCUUUCGGGAGGCAGGGGCCGGAGGUUCGAAUCCUCUCUCUCC